CUCAUUCAUUCACUGCCUCUCACAGGCAACACAUCACAGUUCGUCCAGGUCCAGAUACAGCUUCAAGUCCCAAGCAAAUCCAAAUAGAAGAUACAAUGGUAACAGAUCAGGAUCAAGGGACUAACUCUCUCUAUUUGUGGGCAAUCUGUGCCUGGGUCCUGGACGGGUGGAUGAGUCUAUCCCCUAACAUCUUGCCAUACCAACAAACUCGAAAGACCCUAUAAUAAUCGCAGAAUGUAAUAUGGUCCACCUUAGAUGAAUACUUAAGUCGCCACAUCCUGCCCAAAGCUUCAUCCAGCAACUGAAGAUGGAGAUGAAGCACCAGAAGGCAUCAGGUACUUAAGUUCAGUUCAUUGUAACGUGUGAACUGACGUAUUCAUCAGACUAAAGGCAAAAACUAAUGAGUUUAAUAACGUUAUAUAUAUUUUCAUCUGUUGUACUAUUGACAUUUAAAUAGUGCUAAAAGAUGGAUGCCAUCAAAGUUUUCUUGGGACCAUAGUUAUUACCUUACUUCAAGUUGAAGCCAUUUAUUUUAUUUGUGUGAUUAAAAUUAUAGUAGGAGCAUUUUAUUGAUAAAAGUUCAAUUCCUGAAUAACCGAGAAGUCUUUAAAUGUAAUGUAUGUUUGGGGUUCUAAAAAAAAAUGAGGCAUUGCUUGUCCAAAUAAGGACCCCACAUUCAUAGUUUUUUUUUGUUUGUACUCUUUUGUUUCAACUUUUGCUAAUAAAGAUGAAACCGCCUAAUUACUAACAACAAUUAGACAAAUUAGAAACAAAGGUACAAAUAAAAUAAAACAAUGGAUGUACCCAGUCUUUAGUUGUACAGUCAAUUUCUCAAUUUUUUGUAGAACCCCAACAAGCAUUAUAUUUGAGGAUUUGUUCGGUGAAAUUGAACUAAUCAAUAAAAAAAUCCCUAUAUUUAUCAUACAAAUAAGUCAAAUAAAUUUAUUGAUAAAAGUUCAAUUCUGAAUAACCAAGAAGUCUUUAAAUAUAAUGUGUUUGAGGUUCUAAAAAAAAAUGAGGCAUUGCUUGUCCAAAUAAGGAACCCCCACAUUCAUAGUUUUUUUUUUAUUUGUACUUUUUUGUUUCAACUUUUGCUAAUAAAGAUGAAACCGCCUAAUUACUAACAACAAUUAGACAAAUUAGAAACAAAGGUACAAACAAAAUAAAACAAUGGAUGUACCCAGUCUUUAGUUGUACAGUCAAUUUCUCAAUUUUUUAUAGAACCCCAACAAGCAUUAUAUUUGAAGAUUUGUUGGGUGAGGAAGAUGAACUAGUCAAUAAAAAAUCCAUACAUUGAUACACAAAUAAGUCAAAUUAAGUGGUUCUAAGUUUCAAGACUGACAACGACAAUUUGGUCACAAACACAUCUCGAUGGUAUCGAUCUUUUGGCACUAAUUUCAUGUGAAUAGACAGCAAAUGAAAAUGUAUAUAGCGUUAUUAGACCCACGGUGGGCCAGCCUGAGUAAAUAAUCAAGUGUUGGGGGAUCAGCCAAUGGAGAAAUAAUUUAGCAUUUGGACGAAUUUGUGUGUAAUGCAGUGUGAGUCCGGAAGGGCGCUAUGAACGUCAUAAGUACAUUAUGUACGUGAAAAUGUACUGUUACCAAUAUGAAAUACAUUUGACGUCUGCGGCGUCCUUCCCGACUCACCCUGUAUAUAUAUAUUUUAUAUAUAUUAAAAGAAUGUGUAAUCAUCAAAUUACAUGUUUAAAAUGUAAAAACGAACGAGAAAUAAAUGGCAUCAUUAAACUUGUUUGGAAGAUGCUCAAUUUAUAUGUAGAAAUGAUUUACAAUUUAUAAAUAAAUUAUAUAUAAAAAUUUAAA